GUCCACGCCGUAAACGAUGAUUGCUAGCCGUUGGGCAGCUUGCUGUUCAGUGGCGCAGCUAACGCAUUAAGCAAUCCGCCUGGGGAGUACGGCCGCAAGGUUGAAACUCAAAGGAAUUGACGGGGGCCCGCACAAGCGGUGGAGCAUGUGGUUUAAUUCGACGCAACGCGCAGAACCUUACCAGGGUUUGACAUCCUGCGACCGCUCCUUAAUAGGAGUUUUCCCGCAAGGGACGCAGAGACAGGUGCUGCAUGGCUGUCGU
rnacentral:rRNA from 1 species